rnacentral:rRNA from 1 species
GACGAACGCUGGCGGCGUGCCUAAUACAUGCAAGUCGAACGCAGUGGGGACGGGUGAGUAACACGUGGGUAACCUCCCAUCAGAGGGGAUAACACUUGGCAACAGGUGCUAAACUGAUACUGAUGGAUGAACCCGCGGUGCAUUAGCUAGUUGGUGAGGUAACGGCUCAUCAAGGCCACGAGGCAUAGCGGUCCUGGGAGUGGGAUGUGCCAAGCUGGAACUUAGACACGGCCCAGACUCCUACGGGAGGCGGCAGUAGGAGAUCUGCGGCAAUGGACGAAAGUCUGACCGAGCAACGCCGCGUGAGUGAAGAAGGUUUUCGGAUCGUAAAACUCUGUUGUUUGUGAAGCGGUAUAUAACCAGAAAGCCACGGCUAACGUCGUGCCAGCAGCCGCGGUAAUUC